rnacentral:lncRNA from 1 species
AAAAGAAAAAAAACUAACAGAAAAGAGAGAGUUUCGACGACGAACAACUGGAGGCGUUUACCACCGCUUGGCUUCGAUUGCGACGAAACAAGCGACAACAGCAAGCCAGGUAAACUCUCUUCCUUAAACCUCUCAUUUUCUGCAUUUAGUGUAUUCGUGAAGAACCAAAAAAAAGAAAAGAAAGAAAACAGGGAAGAAAAACGAAAAGAAAAAAAGAUGAAUAUACCUCUCGAAACUUCUUUUUGUUUCUUUUUUAUUCAAAAAAUCCCCUUUUACAAUAUGCAUGUUUGGCUUUUAUAGCCAGAAAAAUAAAAUAAAAGAAAAUAAAAAUCCCCUGUUUUUUACUGCUAUUUUCUUUUCUGGUAUUUCUGCUUUUUCCUUGCCUUCUCUGCUUUUUUUUUUGCGUUCGUUUGCUUGUCCUUUGCUUUGCAGGUGUCGUACGAAGACGUGGCGUGGCUCGGCUCGGAGGCGGCUGAGGCUUGGUGCGCGCGAACAAGGAGAGCUGCUGCGGCGCUGGGGCUGGGCAGAGGCUGGAGCGUGUGGAGGCUCGUGGGGCCGAGGGAAAGCUGCGGCGCUCAUGCUGAGUACCUAGGGUUUCUGCAAUUAGGUUGGGCUUUGGGCUGAGUGAUUUGGGCCUGGAGGGUUAGGCUAGUUGGGCUUAAUGGGCUGGGGACAUGUAUUUGGGUUAGGUCUUUUGAUUUAGCGGGCUAGGCUAAAUUUUGGUUGUAAUUUUGGAUUAUUUGGGCUCGGUGGGUCUGUAAAUGGACAUUUGGACUGCUAUUAGUUUUGUUUGGUUUAUUUUUGUUUUUUUUAUUUGAUUUUAUAUUACGGGCCAGGCAAAUUGGCCUAUUACAUAUGUUAUUUUAUCUAAUUUAUACAUUAUUUAAUAAAACAUAUUUUGAUAUAAUAAUUUAAAGCUAAUUUUAUAAAAUAAAUAAAUUAUUAAUAUUAUUAGCUAAUUAAGCCAUUAGUUUAUAGGGUUCUUUUUUUUUGCCAUUCAUUAGUUUACAGGUCGACUCUUUCCACGUUCCAGCAUGCCCUGAAAGACAGAACUGAUUGAUGAACAGACCAUUUUGCCGACGAAAAAAAUAUGAAAAGGAGAAAUGUAUAUAUGGAAUUCUUUUUGUGGCAAUUUGCAUCUGUAGUCGUGAUUCACAAACUUUUUGUGGCAAUUUUCAUUUCUUAUGUCACCGUUGCUGAAAAUUUAAGACUACAAUGACAUUUUAUCAGCAAGACUUUUUGCCAGAGCCACACAAUAAACAAACACCCACUUUGACCCCACACUCGACCUUCAUCACCAUUCAUCAAGUAAAAACAACGCCCUAAAUAGUUUUUAAACCCCCUAAAAGCGUUUCACCAAUUCCCCAACCCUUGUUUAAAACCACCUUUGUUUUCCACAUAGGAUCGCCCCUUUCUCGAUUCUUACAAUAUUUCUUUACACCUAUGAACUGGUAUUUAUCGUCGUUACACAACAUAUUUACGCCGCAGAUGGGGCGGCCACGAAAUGGACUGCACCAACUUCAGAGAGUGCCACCAGGAACGGUUGCAGGUUCACGGUCUCUGUCCCUCCUUCAGCCGCGCUGGUACGGUAAUCAAGUGACUCGUCGUUGUAAAUGUCCCACCAUUUCUGAACAAGCAUCUUAAUGUCUUCUCUUUGCAUGUUAGCCUCCUUCCCUGUGUACCUCCAAGGCUUAGAUCCC